CCGACGCCCGUCUGCGGGACGAGCUCUGCCCGAGCGGGCGCUCCGGGAGCGGGGAGCUUCGGAGCGCUCCCCGAGUCUCCAUUUAGGGGGACGAAGGCCC